CCAUGGCUCGCACUGGCAGAGAUCAAUCUCGCCAACAAUAUGAUUAACAAGGGAAUCCUUGCCAUUAAUUUUGUGCUUAAGGUAAUAGCCAACGAUUUCUUCAUCAGUUGGAUGGAAUCUGAACCCAACUUUAGGAGAAGGAAAUCUCUCUUCAUGAAGGGGAUCUGACAGAAAAUGGGUAUCCAAAUGUGCGUCCAUUGUGAACCCGCAGCUUGACUCUUGCACCCUUUAAGUCUUUAAACCACCCAGUUUGAAAAGCUUGAGCUAGCUAAUUUCCUCGUGAAGAGAAGGAGCCUGUGUGAAAGUGAAGAAUGGAAAGAAAGCAGAGAAACUAGCACAAAGAAGGGGAAUAGAAAAAUUUAUCCCUAGUUGGGUAACAAAAAUCUCACCCAACAAGAACCAGAUUUCUUCGUCCCUCUUC
rnacentral:misc_RNA from 1 species